CGCUAAAUUGAUGGCGCUACCGGAAGAAAUUUCAGAAAAAAAGGGUGGCUUUUUCGUCGAUCUCUUUGUGAGAGUAUCAAAUCAGGCGGCGGUAAAUACGUAGAAGCAACUAGGCGUACUACGGCGUGUACCGGACAGCGUUGGCGUGCCGCUCUGCUAGCAGCGGAGAGCCAGAUGAGGAUGCCCGUGAUAUGAGAAAAGCUCUGUCCAGAGAUAUGGAGACGAAAUCAGUUGUACCUCACCCUGUGACACCGGAAGACAUUGAGUAACUGUAAGCUGUGAUGCUCAGUGAAAUUACUAAGAGCGUUAAGUUUCCCGUGCCUUUGCUUUCACUCUCCCAUUCUCUUGUCUUGCGGCACGUCGCAUUUUUUGAGGCCGUGGAAGCGACACCGGGAGCGAUGGGUUGUCAGAACCAGGUCCUCCUGCCUGUCGCUGGUUUUGCUUACCUUCGCCGUCUCUGUGUACCAGCCUGCGUCUCUCUCUCUCUGUUCCUCAAUCCCUGUCCUCUCUUCUCUGUUCUGCUUUGUUUCGCUGCGUAUGUCCCGUUCCCUGUCCCACCUUUAUCCUUCCUUCCUUCUUCCUCGCCUUUUUCUUUGUCCUUUUGUCCUGCUCCCCGACCCUGUUUCUCGCUCCAUCUGACCGUCCUUUUCCUGGCACCUUGGUGUCUCUGCUCCUUGCCCCCGUCUUUCUCUCCCCUCUGCCCAGUCCUCGUCUCCCUCUUUUGUCUCUCUGUCCCUCUGUCCUCCUUCUGCCUCUGCCCCU